rnacentral:pre_miRNA from 1 species
UUUGACGGACACAAAAUUGAAAGUUAAAAAACUAUACACGAUUGUGUAAAUUUGAAACAGCCACAAAUUGUGUACGAUACAUAAUUUUCAGCAGUUUCAAAUGCUAUAGUCGUGGUUUUUUUACUUUCGAUUUUGUAACGGCAAA